ACAAUUGGAGAUAUCUUUAAAGACAAGUACCUGGUGAGGAGAUAACAUUUGCUAAAACUUAUUCUCACUCAGCCAGUGAUUUUCCAAGUGUGAUCCCUAGACCAACAACAAUAGCAUCAUCUGGGGACUUGUUAGAAAUGCAAAUUCUUGGGCUCCACCUCAGGCCUCCCUAAUGAGAAACCCUGGAGGCCCAGCCUUCUAAAAUUUGGGAACAUCUGAACAAUCAAACUAACAUUUUCUCAAACCAAACCAAAGAGUUUUCUCUUUCUCACAACUGACUGAAGCCUGAAGAGGGACUUGAAACGGAAAAGAAGUUGAUCUUUAUUAAAAUUAAACUGAACAGUCAAAGAAACAGAUAAGAAUAGUAUCUCUUCCACCUCCCAGCCCUCUCAUGCUUCCUAGUCCCAACUUGAUUGGAGAUAAAAGCUAAUAGAUAAAGCAGAGGAACUUUGGGGCUGGAGGAGAAAAUGCAGAAAGCACAGAAGUUGUGUUAGAUGGUGUUCAGUGGGAACCAUGUGUGAAGGCACACCUAUCCUUGGUUGCUCAGCAGAACAGUGUUGAAGCCAAUGUUGCCAUUUGCAAUACGCAAAUGCGUAAUUUGUUGAAUGACUGACUAAUCACUGACAACCUGUGUACCAAAUACAAGAGAAACAUGGAUGGACCUCAAGAGUCUACUGGGAGAAACAGCUUCUUUUGUGGCAAUUUUCUCCCAAGAGGGACCUCCUCCUACAGUGGACCUCCUCCCCAGUGGUACCUUGAGCCAUCAGAACACCUCGCUUUAGAUCUGUGCAUCCCAAAUUUCAUCAAAUCCAAUGCCCAUUUCUGUGGUAGGUACUUUGCUAUAUACACCUUUUACUAUCUGGAAAUGAAAUAAUUAUAACUACUUUCUUUGUAUGUAUCUAUUAGAUUUCCAUAGGUGUAUUACAUUAAUUUUUCUUUAUACAUUUUCUUUAUAAAUUUCAGUAUGUGUAGUAGAAUAAAACCUCACUAGAUUAAGAUACAAUGAAGUUAUAGAACUUUAAUAUGUUUGCAGACUCACCUUGAAUGCUACAGCUACAAAUGCAGACUGACAGUUGUGGUUUUCUCUAAUUGUAACCACCUU
rnacentral:lncRNA from 1 species